rnacentral:rRNA from 1 species
GAUGAACGCUGGCGGCGUGCCUAAUACAUGCAAGUCGAGCGAACAGACGAGGAGCUUGCUCCUCUGACGUUAGCGGCGGACGGGUGAGUAACACGUGGAUAACCUACCUAUAAUACUGGGAUAACUUCGGGAAACCGGCGCUAAUACCGGAUAAUAUAUUGAACCGCAUGGGUCAAUAGUGAAAGACGGUUUUGCUGUCACUUAUAGAUGGAUCCGCGCCGCAUUAGCUAGUUGGUAAGGUAACGGCUUACCAAGGCGACGAUGCGUAGCCGACCUGAGAGGGUGAUCGCCCACACUGGAACUGGGACACGGUCAAGACUACUACGGGAGGCACCAGUAGGGAACCUUACGCAAUGGGCGAGAGCCUGACGGAGCAACGCCGCGUGAGUGAUGACGGUCUUCGGAUCGUAAAACUCUGUUAUUAGGGAAGAACAAAUGUGUAAGUAACUAUGCACGUCUUGACGGUACCUAAUCAGAAAGCCACGGCUAACUACGUG